ACCUUCAUCAAUCGUUUAUUGUUUUCAACUAACCACAAAGAUAUUGGAACACCAUACCUGCUAUUCGGCGCAUGGAUGGGGAUAGUUGGCACUGCUAUAAGCCUUCUAAUCCGAGCAGAACUAGGCCAACCAGGAACUCUGCUAGGAGAUGAUCAGAUCUAUAAUGUCAUUGUUACUGUCCACUCAUUCGUUAUAAUCUUUAUGGUGAUACCAAUCAUAAUUGAAGGUUUUGGCAACUGGCUAGUCCCUCUGAUAAUUGGUGCACCCGAUAUGGCAUUCCCCCGGAUAAAUAAUAUGAGCUUCUGACUUCUCUUCCCAUCUUUUCUACUCCUACUUGCGUCUUCAAUAGUAGAAGCUGGUGCUGGAACCCGCUGGACAGUUUAUCCCUCUUUAGCAGGAAACCCAUCACAUGCAGGAGCCUCUGUGGACCUGAUCAUCAUCUCGCUCCACUUGGCAGGUGUCUCUUCUAUUUUAAGGGCCAUUAACUUUAUUACGACAAUUAUUAACAUAAAACCCCCAGCUAUAUCCCAGUAUCAAACACCCCUUUUCGUUUGAUCAAUCCUCAUUACGGUAGUCCUUCUACUCCUUUCCCUCCCAGUCCUAGCUGCCGGCAUUUCUACACUAUUACUACACUACUAACUGACAGUAACCUCAACACUACUUUUUUUGACCCUGCUGGAGAGGGUGACCCUAUUUUGUACCAACAUUUAUUCUGAUUUUUUGGUCACCCUGAAGUCUAUGUACUUAUCCUACCAGGCUCCGGGAUAAUCUCCCACAUUGUAACAUAUUAUUCUGGAAAAAAGGAACAAUUUGGAUACAUGGGCUUAAUAUGAGCCAUGAUAUCAAUUGGCUUCUUAGGAUUUAUCGUAUGGGCUCACCAUAUAUUUACAGUAGGAAUAGACGUAGACACACAAGCAUACUUCACCUCUGCUACCAUAAUUAUUGCUAUCCCUACUGGCGUCAAGGUCUUUAGCUGAUUAGCUACCCUGCACGGCGGUAGCAUCAAAUGAUCUUCCGCAAUAUUCUGAGCCCUAGGAUUCAUUUUCCUUUCACAGUAGGAGGUUUAAGCGGCAUCGUAUUAGCUAAUUCAUCACUAGAUAUUGUCUUACACGACAUAUACUAUGUUGUAGCCCAUUUCCACUAUGUUCUAUCAAUAGGAGUGGUAUGCGCCAUUAUAGGAGGCUGUGUCCACUGAUUCCCCCUAUUUUCAGGUUAUACACUUAAUCAGACCUACGCGAAAAUCCACUUCACCAUUAUAUUCGUCGGUGUUAAUUUAACCUUUUUUUUUUGCAGCACUUCCUUUGCCUAUCCAGUAUGCCUCGAUGUUACUCUGAUUAUCCCGAUGCCUACACCACUUGAAAUAUUAUCUCAUCCAUAGGCCCAUUUAUCUCACUAACAGCAGUUAUGCUAAUAAUCUUUACGAUCUGAGAAGGCUUUGCUUCAAAAUGAAAAGUACUGACAAUUGAACAACCAUCUACUAAUUUAGAGUGGCUUUACGGCUGUCCACCACUUUACCAUACAUUCGAAGAGCCAGCCUAUGUGAAAACCUAAAUGAGAA
rnacentral:lncRNA from 1 species